rnacentral:rRNA from 1 species
CAGCGAAACUGCGAAUGGCUCAUUAUAUAAGUUAUCGUUUAUUUGAUAGUACCUUACUACUUGGAUAACCGUGGUAAUUCUAGAGCUAAUACAUGCUAAAAAUCCCGACUUCGGAAGGGAUGUAUUUAUUAGAUUAAAAACCAAUGCCCUCUGGGCUCCUUGGUGAUUCAUAAUAACUUUUCGAAUCGCAUGGCCUUGCGCCGGCGAUGGUUCAUUCAAAUUUCUUCCCUAUCAACUUUCGAUGUUUGGGUAUUGGCCAAACAUGGUCGCAACGGGUAACGGAGGGUUAGGGCUCGACCCCGGAGAAGGAGCCUGAGAAACGGCUACUACAUCCAAGGAAGGCAGCAGGCGCGCAAAUUACCCAAUCCCGAUUCGGGGAGGUAGUGACAAUAAAUACUGAUACAGGGCUCUUUUGGGUCUUGUAAUUGGAAUGAGUACAAUUUAAAUCCCUUAACGAGGAACAAUUGGAGGGCAAGUCUGGUGCCAGCAGCCGCGGUAAUUCCAGCUCCAAUAGCGUAUAUUAAAGUUGUUGUGGUUAAAAAGCUCGUAGUUGAACCUUGGGCCUGGCUGGCCGGUCCGCCUCACCGCGUGCACUGUGCCGGCCGGGCCUUUCCCUCUGUGGAACCUCAUGCCCUUCACUGGGUGUGGCGGGGAAACAGGACUUUUACUUUGAAAAAAUUAGAGUGCUCCAGGCAGGCCUAUGCUCGAAUACAUUAGCAUGGAAUAAUAAAAUAGGACGCGUGGUUCUAUUUUGUUGGUUUCUAGGACCGCCGUAAUGAUUAAUAGGGACAGUCGGGGGCAUCAGUAUUCAAUUGUCAGAGGUGAAAUUCUUGGAUUUAUUGAAGACUAACUACUGCGAAAGCAUUUGCCAAGGAUGUUUUCAUUAAUCAGGAACGAAAGUUAGGGGAUCGAAGACGAUCAGAUACCGUCGUAGUCUUAACCAUAAACUAUGCCGACUAGGGAUCGGACGAUGUUAUUUUUUGACGCGUUCGGCACCUUACGA